GGGGCUGUAGCUCAGUGGUAGAGCACUUGCCUUGCAGGUGUGGGGCCCUGGGUUCCACCCUCAGCACCA
rfam:Ictidomys tridecemlineatus contig044479, whole genome shotgun sequence.